UACGGAGGGUGCGAGCGUUGUCCGGAAUCAUUGGGCGUAAAGGGCGCGUAGGUGGCUUCUUAAGCGUGCGGUGAAAGCCUGGGGCUCAACCCCGGGUCGGCCGUGCGAACUGGGGGGCUGGAGCACUGUAGAGGCAGGCGGAAUUCCGGGUGUAGCGGUGGAAUGCGUAGAGAUCCGGAAGAACACCGGUGGCGAAGGCGGCCUGCUGGGCAGUUGCUGACACUGAGGCGCGACAGCGUGGGGAGCAAACAGGAUUAGAAACCCGAUAGUCC
rnacentral:rRNA from 1 species